GAUGAACGCUAGCUACAGGCUUAACACAUGCAAGUCGAGGGGUAACGAGAGGAAAGCUUGCUUUCCUUGUCGACGACCGGCGCACGGGUGAGUAACGCGUAUCCAACCUGCCCCCAACUAGGGAAUAACCUUGCGAAAGUAAGACUAAUACCCUAUAAUUUCCUCAGAUGACAUCUGACGAGGAAUAAAGAUUUAUCGGUUGUGGAUGGGGAUGCGUCUGAUUAGCUUGUUGGCGGGGUAACGGCCCACCAAGGCACCGAUCAGUAGGGGUUCGGGUGGGACGGUCCCCCACAUGCGAACUGAGAAACGGUGCAAAAUACUACGGGGGGCAGCAGUGAGGAAUAUUGGUCAAUGGGCGGAAGCCUGAACCAGCCAAGUAGCGUGCAGGAUGACGGCCCUAUGGGUUGUAAACUGCUUUUAUACAGGAAUAAAGUUAGCCACGUGUGGUUAUUUGUAGGUACUGUAUGAAUAAGGACCGGCUAAUUCCGUGCCAGCCGCCGCAGUAACAC
rnacentral:rRNA from 1 species